UAAUGUAUGGGGAUCUGCCCGAUAGAGGGGGAUAACUACUGGAAACGGUGGCUAAUACCGCAUAAUGUCUACGGACCAAAGCAGGGGCUCUUCGGACCUUGCACUAUCGGAUGAACCCAUAUGGGACUAGCUAGUAGGUGGGGUAAAGGCUCACCUAGGCGACGAUCUCUAGCUGGUCUGAGAGGAUGAUCAGCCACACUGGGACUGAGACACGGCCCAG
rnacentral:rRNA from 1 species